GCGAGUGGGUUUAGCUCAUUCUAGUUUCGGUUCUCCAACAGAAAACAUCUAUUUGGACGACUACCAAAUUUCUGGGACUGAAAAUCCUACUUCCGUAAUCAGGCUAAUAACAUAAUGUGCAAUCCAGGAAUGUGCUCGAUGCCCGGCACUUGCUGUGGACCGACUGGCGGACUGGGACCCUGCCUGCUCUGCGGACCCUACAAUGGCCAGUGGUUCCGUUCGGUCAACCACUGCUGUGGUCCUUGUGGCCCAUAUGGUUGCUGCUCGUGCUACGGACCGUAUGGAGGACAUUGUUAGCCUGCUUAGAAGGAAUGUAGGUUUUCUUUAUCCGCGAUCUGGAACAGGAGCUUUAAAGAUUGCAGCCGUGAGGCCUCGUCGAAGAUGAGGAGCCAUGCUGAAAAGUUUUCAGGCGAAAUGGAUCCAAAAAUUUGUGUUCGAUGAAAGAUUAUGCCAUCGGAAAUAGAUGUUAAUAAAUUCAACGUAUAAUUCUAA